UUGUAAAGGAAGAGGAGUCUUGAGUAGGAGUCCUAUUAGGAGUUGGUUAGAAGUAAGAGUCUUAAGUAGGAGUCCUAUUAGGAGUUAGGGUUUAGAAGCCCUAUAAAUAGCCUUGUAUUCCUCCUCGUUUCUCAAGCAAUAGAUGAACCUUUUCUGCAGCCUUUGAGCAGCAACUUGGAGGGAGGAACCCCUAUAGAGUUCCAAGGAGGCCGAUCCCAUAAAGAGAUCAACCCCAAGUUUAGAAUCUGCAAGGGUUCUAACACCUGGUAUCAGAGCAGCGUUCUUGGC
rnacentral:lncRNA from 1 species